GGGAGAGAGAGCCCGGCCGCCGCGAUGGUCGCACCGGCGACGGUACGACCACCUCACGUGAGCCAUCCCCUCGGGAUGUGUCACGCUAUAACGUUGCCCGUCCCUCCGGGACGCGCAACGCUCGCGAGGAAAGUCCCCCCACCUGUUCGGGCAGGUGACCGGACGCAAGUCCGGAGCGGGAGACCGCUGGCUCUGGAACAGAAACGACACGUCUCGGCCCGACCGAUGACGCGUGCGAACCCGACCGAGAGGAAGGGGAGUUGACCCGCAGAGGGUUGCGCGGUCCUCCGGACCGCGAAACGUGAGGCGGCGCGAGCCGCCGAACCGGCGAGCGGCAACCGCCGCGAGCCGCGUGCGGUCGUCAAACCGUGGUUCGAAUCCGCGGGUCACGCUCGCCGUGAUCGACCGCACACGGACGGCCGAGGACCGAUGGAACGGCGAACCCUCACCGGUGCAAGUCCGCGCCGUGGUAGCCCGAACGCCCCGCGGCACCGCCGCGGACGGCGCGGACGCUCAGCCGAAUGCCGGGCCGAACAGAAGGGGGCUUACUCCUCUCACCC
rnacentral:RNase_P_RNA from 1 species